UACGAAGGGGGCUAGCGUUGCUCGGAAUGACUGGGCGUAAAGGGCGCGUAGGCGGAUGGCACAGUCAGAUGUGAAAUUCCCGGGCUUAACCUGGGGGCUGCAUUUGAUACGUGUUGUCUAGAGUGAGGAAGAGGGUUGUGGAAUUCCCAGUGUAGAGGUGAAAUUCGUAGAUAUUGGGAAGGAACACCGGUGGCGAAGGCGGCCAACUGGCUGACAUGACGCUGAGGCGCGAAAGCGUGGGGAUCAAACAGGAUUAGAACUACCGUGUCAG
rnacentral:rRNA from 1 species